GAUGAACGCUGGCGGCGUGCCUAAUACAUGCAAGUCGAGCGAACGGACGAGAAGCUUGCUUCUCUGAUGUUAGCGGCGGACGGGUGAGUAACACGUGGAUAACCUACCUAUAAGACUGGGAUAACUUCGGGAAACCGGAGCUAAUACCGGAUGAUAUUUUGAACCGCAUGGUUCAAAAGUGAAAGACGGUCUUGCUGUCACUUAUAGAUGGAUCCGCGCUGCAUUAGCUAGUUGGUAAGGUAACGGCUUACCAAGGCAACGAUGCAUAGCCGACCUGAGAGGGUGAUCGGCCACACUGGAACUGAGACACGGUCCAGACUCCUACGGGAGGCAGCAGUAGGGAAUCUUCCGCAAUGGGCGAAAGCCUGACGGAGCAACGCCGCGUGAGUGAUGAAGGUCUUCGGAUCGUAAAACUCUGUUAUUAGGGAAGAAUAUAUGUGUAAGUAACUGUGCACAUCUUGACGGUACCUAAUCAGAAAGCCACGGCUAACUACGUG
rnacentral:rRNA from 1 species